UCUGGCUAAUGUCACCUACCUGAUGGAAAGAUAUAGGCCAUUGUGACCUCCAGCUGAUGCUGCCUACCUAAAGAAGGGACACAAGCCAUUAUGAAAUCUGACUAAUGCUGCCCAACUGAAGGAGGGGCACAAGCUAUUAUGAUGUCUAGCUGAUGCUGCCUAACUGAUGGAAAGACACAAACCACGGGGCUCGGAGCCUGAUCAGGAAUCUACAUCAUAUGGGAAUGGGCAGUGUGAACAGAGGCAGAAAAGAAGUGCAGACAUCGACCUUCCUAACUUGAGCAGAAAGAAAGGAUGGAAAUGGUUAUAUCCGAUAGCAUGACCAUCACAACUCUGAGAGCUCUGGUUACUCAGUCAUGCUGACAUUUGCAUUCUAAAAUUGAUCAUAUUUUAUAUAAUUUCAGGGAAUUCAAAUGUGAAUAAACUGCUUCAAACUGAA